rnacentral:lncRNA from 1 species
ACUUACCUGGCCAAUUUGAAAGAUUAGAUCUUGAACAAGAUUGCUUAGCGGUUAGGUUUAGGCCAUACCAAUUAGAUCGAUCAUAUGAUGAUUGAUUAGAUGAGACCUAAAUCUAAACCUUUUCAUAAAUAUUAAUUUCAUAGGUCUUCCACCGUUGUAGAUGUGUGGACAUGCUACCAGCAUUGAUUAUUCUCGACUGGUC